rnacentral:rRNA from 1 species
ACCUUAGCAAGGCUUGCCAUACACCGGAAUCACUCAGAGAUGGGUGCGUCUUCGGACUGGUGUACAGGUGGUGCAUGGUUGUCGUCAGCUCGUGUCGUGAGAUGUUGGGUUAAGUCCCGCAACGAGCGCAACCCUCGUUCUAUGUUGCCAGCACGUCAUGGUGGGGACUCAUAGGAGACUGCCGGGGUCAACUCGGAGGAAGGUGGGGAUGACGUCAAAUCAUCAUGCCCCUUAUGUCUUGGGCUUCACGCAUGCUACAAUGGCCGGUACAAAGGGCUGCGAAACCGCGAGGUGGAGCGAAUCCCAAAAAACCGGUCUCAGUUCGGAUUGGGGUCUGCAACUCGACCCCAUGAAGUCGGAGUCGCUAGUAAUCGCAGAUCAGCAACGCUGCGGUGAAUACGUUCCCGGGCCUUGUACACACCGCCCGUCAAGUCACGAAAGUCGGUAACACCCGAAGCCGGUGGCCCAACCCUUGUGGGGGAGCCGUCGAAGGUUGGACGC